rnacentral:rRNA from 1 species
UACAGAGGGUGCGAGCGUUAAUCGGAAUUACUGGGCGUAAAGCGUGCGUAGACGGUUAUGUAAGUCGGGUGUGAAAGCCCCGGGCUCAACCUGGGAAUUGCAUUCGAGACUGCAUAGCUAGGAUGCGGAAGAGGGAAGCGGAAUUUCCGGUGUAGCGGUGAAAUGCGUAGAUAUCGGAAGGAACAUCAGUGGCGAAAGCGGCUUCCUGGUCCAGCAUCGACGUCAGGCACGAAAGCGUGGGGAGCAAACAGG